rnacentral:rRNA from 1 species
GAUGAACGCUAGCUACAGGCUUAACACAUGCAAGUCGAGGGGUAACAAGAGGAAAGCUUGCUUUUCUUGUUGACGACCGGCGCACGGGUGAGUAACGCGUAUCCAACCUGCCUAUAACUAGGGAAUAACCUUGCGAAAGUAAGACUAAUACCCUAUGAUUUCCUUUGAUGACAUCAGAUUAGGAAUAAAGAUUUAUCGGUCAUAGAUGGGGAUGCGUCUGAUUAGCUUGUUGGCGGGGUAACGGCCCACCAAGGCAACGAUCAGUAGGGGUUCUGAGAGGAAGGUCCCCCUCAAUGGAACUGAGACACGGUCCAAACACCUACGGGAGGCAGCAGUGAGGAAUAUUGGUCAAUGGGCGGAAGCCUGAACCAGCCAAGUAGCGUGCAGGAUGAGGCCCUAUGGGUUGUAAACUGCUUUUAUACAGGAAUAAAGUUAGCCACGUGUGGUUAUUUGUAGGUACUGUAUGAAUAAGGACCGGCUAAUUCCGUGCCAGCCGCCGCCGUAA